rnacentral:rRNA from 1 species
GUGAGGAAUAUUGGUCAAUGGGCGGAAGCCUGAACCAGCCAAGUAGCGUGCAGGAUGACGGCCCUAUGGGUUGUAAACUGCUUUUAUACGGGGAUAAAGUGCGCCACGUGUGGAGCAUUGCAGGUACCGUAUGAAUAAGGACCGGCUAAUUCCGUGCCAGCAGCCGCGGUAAUACGGAAGGUCCGGGCGUUAUCCGGAUUUAUUGGGUUUAAAGGGAGCGCAGGCCGGAAGCAAAGCGUGCCGUGAAAUGUAGAUGCUCAACAUCUGAAUUGCGGCGCGAACUGGUUUUCUUGAGUGCAUACGAGGUAGGCGGAAUUUGUGGUGUAGCGGUGAAAUGCUUAGAUAUCACGAAGAACUCCGAUUGCGAAGGCAGCCUACCAGGAUGUAACUGACGCUAAAGCUCGAAAGUGCGGGUAUCGAACAGGAUUAGAUACCCUUGUAGUCC